CCUACGGGUGGCAGCAGUGAGGAAUAUUGGUCAAUGGACGAGAGUCUGAACCAGCCAAGUAGCGUGAAGGAUGACUGCCCUAUGGGUUGUAAACUUCUUUUAUAAGGGAAUAAAACGAGGCACGUGUGCCUUUUUGCAUGUACUUUAUGAAUAAGGAUCGGCUAACUCCGUGCCAGCAGCCGCGGUAAUACGGAGGAUCCGAGCGUUAUCCGGAUUUAUUGGGUUUAAAGGGAGCGUAGAUGGGUUGUUAAGUCAGUUGUAAAAGUUUGCGGCUCAACCGUAAAAUUGCAAUUGAUACUGGCAGUCUUGAGUACAGUUGAGGUAGGCGGAAUUCGUGGUGUAGCGGUGAAAUGCUUAGAUAUCACGAAGAACCCCGAUUGCGAAGGCAGCUUACUAAACUGUGACUGACAUUGAUGCUCGAAAGUGUGGGUAUCAAACAGGAUUAGAUACCCGUGUAGUC
rnacentral:rRNA from 1 species